rnacentral:rRNA from 1 species
AUGGUAGACUUUGUGAUUCUUUGUACGGGAAGGUUUAACAAUUAUCCCAACAUACCCAAAUUCCCUCCUGGUAGAGGCCCAGAAGCAUUUGAUGGGAAAGUGAUCCACUCCAUGGACUACUCCAAAAUGGGUAGCGAGAAAGCUAAGGAGAUGAUCAAGGACAAGUGUGUGACUAUUGUUGGGUAUGGAAAUUCAGCCCUUGACAUUGCUAAUGAAUGUGCAAAUAUAAAUGGUAAAAAUAUUCAAUCCUCAAUUAAACAGACCUUGUUUCUCUCGGUUAACGAAAUCGAAACAUUGGUAUGGAGAAACCAUGCACAAUGGUUGUCCGAACCAAGCAAUGGAUCAUACCAAACUUCUAUGCUUGGGACUAGUUUCAUACAUGUGUACAUUUCUUUUGUGCGUGAGAAGAGGUUGAUUAUUUCAAAGUUUGCUAAGAGCUACUACUCCAUUCCAAUGAAGAAGCAUGACAUGGUGCCUGACCAUAGCUUUUUUGAGGGGAUGGUGGGGUGUAUGCUUUCCACUACACCCAAGGAUCAUUAUAAGAAUUUAUAG